UUUUUAGAAAAGUUCCCCAUCUUUUAGUACUCAUAUCGUGUGAGUGACAUGAUCUCAAGUUAAAAUCUCAGUCUAAUUCAUCUCUUUCUUAUGCUUCCAUAAUAUUCCUUCUACAGAAGCUAAUGAAAGAAGUAUUGAAAAUCAGUUAACACCUCACCCUAUUUCGGUAUAUCUCCUGGAUGAGCAUGUCUCUCAUACAGAAUUCAGAGCUGCUUUCACUAUGUUAGCCAAUUCAGUAGUUG
rnacentral:lncRNA from 1 species